AGUCUUAUAUUCAAUUAUGAUAUAAAAUUGCAAAUUUUAAGGAGUAAAUAAUAAUUACUAAGGCUU
rnacentral:tRNA from 1 species